rnacentral:rRNA from 1 species
CAGUCGCCGCGGGAAUACGUAGGUGGCAAGCGUUGUCCGGAAUAACUGGGCGUAAAGGGUGCGCAGGUGGUUUAACAAGUUAGUGGUGAAAGGCAUAGGCUCAACCAAUGUAAGCUAUUAAAACUGUUUAACUUGAGUGCAGGAGAGGAAAGUGGAAUUCCUAGUGUAGCGGUGAAAUGCGUAGAUAUUCGGAGGAACACCAGUGGCGAAGGCGGCUCACUGGCCCAUUACUGACGCUGAGGUGCGAAAGCGUGGGGAGCAAACAGGAUUAGAUACCCCUGUAGUCCCUGUCUCUUAUACA